AUUAUAAAAAUAUUAAAUAGAUUAUUGUAUAUAAUUUAUUUGUAGUAUUUGUAUCUUAUUCUGUUUGAUAUACGUUUAUUAUACACCACCUACUUA